UACGAAGGGGGCAAGCGUUGUUCGGAAUUACUGGGCGUAAAGGGCGCGUAGGCGGCUUAUCAAGUCAGGCGUGAAAUUCCCGGGCUCAACCUGGGGGCUGCGCUUGAUACUGAUUGGCUUGAAUGCGGGAGAGGAUAGUGGAAUUCCCAGUGUAGAGGUGAAAUUCGUAGAUAUUAGGAAGAACACCAGUGGCGAAGGCGGCCUACUGGUCCGGCACUGACGCUGAGGUGCGAAAGCGUGGGGAGCAAACAGG
rnacentral:rRNA from 1 species